GUGCCAGCCGCCGCGGUAAUACGUAGGGUGCGAGCGUUAAUCGGAAUUACUGGGCGUAAAGCGUGCGUAGGCGGUCCGUUGUGUCUGCGGUGAAAUCCCCGGGCUUAACCUGGGAAUGGCCGUGGAAACUGGCGGGCUUGAGUGUGGCAGAGGGGGGUGGAAUUCCGCGUGUAGCAGUGAAAUGCGUAGAGAUGCGGAGGAACACCGAUGGCGAAGGCAACCCCCUGGGCUGACACUGACGCUCAGGCACGAAAGCGUGGGGAGCAAACAGGAUUAGAAACCCCCGUAGUCC
rnacentral:rRNA from 1 species